rnacentral:rRNA from 1 species
UGGGGAAUCUUGCAUAAUGGAGGGAACUCUGAUGCAGCGACGCCGCGUGAACGAAGAAGGCUUUCGUGUCGUAAAGUUCUUUUAUAUGGGAAGAUAAUGACGGUAUCAUAAGAAAACGCUCCGGCUAACUACGUGCCAGCAGCCCCGGUAAUACGCAGGGGGCUAGCGACGUCCGGAAUCACCGGGCGUAAAGGGUUCGCAGGUGGAAAUGCAAGUCUGGUGUAAAAGGAAGUAGCUUAACUACUGUAAGCAUUUGAUACUGCAUAGCUUGAGAAGGGUAGAGGUGAGUGGAAUUUUUAGUGUAGUGGUGACAUGCGUUGAUAUUAAAAAGAAUACCGGUGGCGAAGGAGACUUACUGGGCUCCUUCUGACGCUGCGGAACGAAAGCGUGGGUAGCAAACAGG